ACGGCGGGUUACAAACUCUUUCUCCAGCAGCUCCCUGAUUUGAAAAGAGCUCGUUUCCUUCUGUGCACUGAUCGUGCUGCUAAGUGAUGCAGAUUUGGAGACAGCAGAAUUUUUCCUGACAGGAUUGGUAACAGAAAGGUCUACACCAGACUCACAGUGGAAAGCAUGAAAUCUUACGCAGAAAGAGAGCUUGGGCUGGAUGUGGACACAGGGCACCGCUGCAGAGUCUGCUCCAACUCCUGAUGCCCACUCGUCACCGGGGAUGUCUUGGCUCUGCAGGGAGCUGCACUCAGGCAGAAUGCAGAGCAACAGAGAAGGUGGGAACUGCUGCACCCGACUCCGAUGCUUACAGAUGAGGACAGAAGUGUUGACACUGUUAACAGUUUUGUUGGUAGGAGAAAAGAGAGGGAGGAUCACCAACUAAUGGGACUUGCUGUGAGAAACCUCUUCUUUUGGUGCCAGUAGCCAUUUUAAAGAGAUGCAUCAUUUCUUUUUAAACUCAGCCUAGGAAAUCCACCUGUCUGAGCCAACCACAGGCAGUGAAUGUUUUACCAUCUGACCAAGGAGAUGUCAGCAUCAAGAAGGCUGAAAGCACUAGUCAGCUUGGUGGAGUACACCUUGGAUCACAGCAAAAGCAAAGGAUUGGUACAUUACUGCUUGGUAGUUGUUACAGAAGGCCAGCUUCAGCAGAGUUAGAAAAAGAAUAGCUUAGCCAUGAUAAGAAAAGCUUUCUUUCUCCUUGCAGGUCACAAUGACUCUAAAUUCAUUUAAUUUGGACCAUGCCCUUCCUUACUUCCAUCUUGAUAUGUUCUAGAAAUUUCUGAAGUGAGGAACUGCUAAUACUGAAAUAACAGGAAGCUGUCAUUUUACUUUCAUGCAUUUUUCCAAGUAUUCAGCUAAAACCUUACAAGUAACACAGACAAGGCAAAAAAGACACUUGCUACUAAACACUGUCCUCAUGAAGCCCAUCUUGGUGGCCAGAAUUGAUUAUGUGUGGCCCACUACAGCCUCCUUACCUUUGUAGCCAGUGCAGGAGUGGAAUUUGCCCAGAUGUGACUUGAGGAUUUUGCAUAUGAACUGGUCUGGGCACCAUUUUGUGGUGUGUCAUUAUUGGCCAUGUCCAAUCCUGAAUCAUUUUUUAUCAGUGACCUUGCCUGUCCAACCCCUUCCCUGAAUUAUGUAUUUAGCAAACAUACUGAAGCACAGGGAGCACUUCUGCACAUUUAUCUGUAAUGCUAAAGACAUUCUCUGAACAGCUCUUUUUAAUGCUUCCUGCACAUCACUCCUCCCAGCAGUUCUGUUACCACCCUGCCAUCCUGGCUAUAAUGGCCAAUUUUCAAACGUAUUUUCACUGCCCCUCAGAACUGCACCCAGAAUUGUCUGCCAAUCCCUUUUGAUUGCUGCCAGAGAAGAAGCAUUUUUAUAGCGCUUGUUUUCUCUGCUGCUUCUGUAUUGAGUGAUUUCUUUACUACUUUGCUACUUCCUUAUUCAGUGAUUCGAGUUUUCACUAUAGCGAAGUACUGUCAGUCACACAGCCUCUUUCAGAGUUAGCUGAAUAACUAAGGACCAACAUUUGGGUCUCCCAAAAAAUGAAAAGGCAGCCUUGUAAGAUUUUUAAGUUGAUAGAAAGAACAUGACAAGUCUGAAAAGAAGCAUUUUUCUUCUUUGAAAAGCUGUCAAUUCCUCAGUUCAAAUGCAACAAUAUUUCCAAGGAAUAAUUCCAUCAAUCUUCCUCAGAGACAAUGAGCAUAAAGCUUUUCAUAUGGGCAUUAGUGAUGGCUUUCUCCAGGCCUCUGCCCUUUACAUAAGAAGGAUGGGGUUCAGAUUAUACUACUCAUAGGGAUCAUAGUGUCAUAAGAAUGGUGUCAUAGGGUUUUUUCCUUCUUUAACUAAACGCAAAAUGGCAUUACUGGCUAAACAGUACAGUUAGACACACAAGUAGCCUUGAGGGCUCCUGAGAAGUCUUGUUAUUCAUUCUUUUAUUUUUUAUUUGAUAUAAAUAUGAAUAUAUUCUCUGUUUGAAAUAUGUGUUUGCAUUUCAAAUGUCAGAGAAACUAUAAAACUCUCAACAUCAGUUCUAUCCCGGAAAUUAUUAGCAAAGGAUUGGUCUAAAAUACUCCACAAUUUUUUUAUCCUAACCUGCUGAUUCAGCUGCAUUGCCAUUUUUUUCAGAGUUUUUCAGUUUGUUCAGAGUUCAGCAUUCAAAUUCAUAGAAUUGCUGAUGGAGUGAGAGUCUCUGACUAGCUGAUUUCUCGGUUCCUCAAAAGCUGGUUCUCCCAAAGUGCUCAGAUCCUUAGCAGUUCAUUUGGAUGACUGGAUGGGAGCCAGAAAACCCUGAUAUCUUUAGCUUUCAUCUUCUGGUUUCUUUUACAAUCCAGAAUUUCAAGAUUCAUAGUACCAGGGUGUCCAUCAGAUGGAUUACCUUGGAGCAGGAAUUCGAUUCCCUUUUGUUUUCUAUUGGAGCAGAACCUAGAUAUGAAAUGAGGUUACUUUGAGCUGACAAGUUCUGCUCCAAAAACCUUGACAAUAUGGUUUUCCAAGGCUUAUAUGAACUCUGGGAAAUAAAUCUUCUAUUCUUCCUAGACUGAUGUGAGAAAUAGUUUACCAAGUCAUUUCUAUUGAGAAAUUAAAAGGAAGGAGAAGAAAGAGGUAAGGAAGAAAUAUAACUAAAACUCCAGGGUCAUGGCCUGACAAAUUAAAAUUAAGUCUGCUUUCUAAAAAUGGGUUAGAGAAGUUUUACCUGAAAAAUAUUCUUGCCGUGUUGCUGUCCUUGCAUAUGU